rnacentral:misc_RNA from 1 species
GAGGGGGGGAGGGGGUGGUGGUGGGUGUUGGAGGGCGGCGGCGGGGGGCGGAGGGAACAGUUACAUUGCCAAAUAUAAUUAAAAAAAAACACAUUUUUAAGGAUGAUUCUGUCAAUAAACACAUAUACAUGAAAAGAAGAAAAUAAAAGCCAAAAGCACAUGUUUGUGUGUGUCUCUCGUUCUUAAUAUCAUAGUUGAUUAGUUAUGUAAUAAUGCCUAGUCAACAGAGAAAGUUUAGCAUUCAAUAACAUUAGUAAUAAAAAUGCCAGAACAUAAUAUCAUAUUAACAAAAUUUGUCAACACAAAAACGAAACCAUGAUCUUCAUUAUUUGGAAGACAACAAAACAAUGAUCUAAUAAAGGUUGGAUUGUCAAUAAUAAUGCUAAAGGUUCAUUGAAGCAGCAAUAUAUGUUAUAAUAAGAGGUUAGGGUCCAAACUGUAUGUCUCUCACUGCUUAGCAACAAUCUGGCAAAUAUCUAGUCAAGGCAGCAUAUGGUGUUGGUAGUUUGCGUUAAUUUCACCAAAAUAAGCAGAAAUAGCAGCAGGCAGACCUCGCCAAGGGUUGUUUCAAGUCCUGAACCAGAUCAGGCCUGGUCAAUGGUUCAUGGGGUUAUAUAGGGGGGCCAGUUUCAGUCCUCUCUCAGCCCUGAACUGGAACUAGUGGUUUGACCCAACAGGCCAAUCUGGUUCGAACUGUAUCUUUAAAAAAAAAAAGGCAACGUGGUGGACGCAGGAAGGCAACACGUGGGCCAACCCAGACUGAACUGCUCAAAAGUCAAAACCAGAACCACCAUUGAACCAGAGUAAACCUGGACUUGAACUGUCUGGAACUGUAACCGGCUGGAACCGCCUAAGGCCGGUCCAGUUCCGGUUCAUUCCCCUUCUCAACCCUGAACUGGCCUGGACUGGUGCAGUAGGUGCUCUAGCUCAAAGGAAUAUAAAAAUGGAGGGGGACAAUGGUUGAUUAGCAAUGUUGUUCAAAAUUUGAAAAUUCAAGGUGCUGUUGCUGCCCGGCUACUAAGGUGGGGAAUAGUGAUCACUGUAAUUUGCGUGAUUUUAAAAGGAAAAAUAAAGCAUGGUUUUCCAAUAAAUGAAAAUUAUAUUGACAAAACAAGGUUCCAUGUAAAGAAUUAGGCAUCAAUGUUUAUAAUGCUACUAUUUCCCCAUAAAACAACAAUCACACCCUUCAAGCACAAAAGGACUAUACUUAAAGAACUAAUUCAAUAUAGACAAAUACCUUCACAACAAAAAUAUUGCAAGACGAAACCUCCUCCAGAUACUUUUUAUGAACACAAUCUAGAUAUAGAACAUCAGAAUAUCCUUUGGCUUUUGCAAUAGAUUGUGCCUUGAGAACCUACGAGUAACAAUCCAAUAAAUAAAAGGAGAUGAAUUGGAUACUAGAAAUUGUAAUCGCUUUUCAAAAAGAGACAAGAUAUAAGUUAGAUACUUUAAAAUCAUAUGAAUUAUGGUGCUAGUGAUGUAUAAAUAAAAUUAAAAUUCUGUCUUGAAGCAAUAAUAAAAUUGCACCAUACUUUUCAUCAAUAAAAAGUUUUAAACCAUAUGAAUUUCCUUUUCCUAAGAAAUAAAUAAGAAUCUUGCAGCAAGGUCUUUAAAAAAAAAAAAGGAAGAGGAAGAAUUUGGCAUGAACUACAAGCCCAACUUACAGCAGCAUAGUUCCCUAUAGUCUUAACACCUCCAGUACCACCAGGAGUUGCUCGAUGCAAUUCAUGCUCAACAAUCAAAUUAAUAGGGGCCACACCUUCCUGGAAUCAAAUAUGUAAAAGCAGCUACAUUGACUGUCCAUUGGAGAGGGAUUUCAAAUGAACAACAAUCUCAUAAACCAUAUAUUAAGAAGCAACCAAAAACUACUAAUGCAUAGGCACUUACAUGGUGACACAGGACAUACCAAUAUAUAUAUAUAUAUGAAAGAAAUCAUUUUUCCUGUUUUUUCAGUGUGUGUGUGCAUGUGCUGUUGCCUGCACAAGCAUGGGUAUGUGCAUAUUUAUGACUUCUUUCAUAUAAGCUCCAAAAGAAACAUGAAUAAUUUAAUAACCAUUAGUUGACAAACAGAUGUCAUCUUGCUUGAUAAGUUGUUUCAUUAUUAGUUUCAUUGAACUGUAAUUAAUUCAGCCUUUUCUAUUUAUUACAAAGUCACUAGUCACUACUAAUUAACUCUUUAGCUAAGGAUCUAUCUAAUCAGUCUAAGCUUCAAUCAUGGCACGUGCAUGUAGUCAAUAAAGUCCAUUUCAUAGAAUCUAAACUCAUUUACAGAAAAGCUGGAAAAAGGAUCAUUUAAUUUGUAGAAUUCAUUAUUUAAGGCAUGUCAAUUAAGUUUCAGAAUAUCAAUCUUAAAUCAAUUGAAAUAAAGAUAAAAUUCUGGAGCACAAACUCCAAUUAAACAUAAUGUGACCGCCAUAUAAUUCAGAAGUGGCAAUACACUGAUGAUGCAGAACUUUAAACAAGACACUUCCAAAGGGAUGUGAAACAAAACCAAGAGCAUAAUGGAACAGUAACUCAAAACCAAGGGUACAUAAAAGGAUACCAUAAUUCAAAGUUGCAAGCUAUGCUCAACCACACUAUGAAAGAAGAAAAAGCAAACCAACCUUAAAAUAGUUUCCU